AUUGAACGCUAGCGGCAUGCUUUACACAUGCAAGUCGAACGAGUGGCGGACGGGUGAGUAAUAUAUCUGAACGUGCCCAGUAGCGGGGGAUAACUACUCGUAAGAGUGGCUAAUACCGCCUACUAUUGGCUCGGCCUAUAUCGGAUUAUCUCGUUGGUGGGGUAAAGGCUCACCAAGGCAACGAUCCGUAGCUGGUUUGAGAGGACGACCAGCCACACUGGGACUGAGACACGGCCCCGACUCCUACGGGAGGCAGCAGUGGGGAAUUUUGGACAAUGGGGGAAACCCUGAUCCAGCCAUGACGCGUGUAUGAGAAGGCCUUCGGGUUGUAAAGUACUUUUGGCAGAGAAGCGGUAACUGAAGAAUAAGCACCGGCUAACUACGUGCCAGCAGCCGCGGGAAUAG
rnacentral:rRNA from 1 species